GCUGAAUGAUCAAGGAGCUGUGACCAGACCUGCACCUGGGAUGCAGACAGCAACACUGCAGACUGGGGACUGCUCUACCAGGACUUCAAGAGCCACUUUUCUGUCCAAGUUCUCCCCAAGCAGUUUCUAAGCCCGGCUAUAAAAGCACAGCGAAGUGCUGCAGAGCCCAGUGAGGCUGUCAGCUCCAGCAGGGAUCCAAUUCCUUCUGACAUUUCACACAGCUCUACUGGAAGCAGCAACACGGUGAGUCUGUGUCUAGGAAUGCGCUCUGGUCUCCCACAUUCUCCAUACGUUGCGUGCUGUAAAUG